UUCAAAAUUUGAAACGUUUUUUAUACAAAUACGCACACCAAGUAUUCUUAAAUGUGGCAUAUAUCGACCCUGGUCUUCAUCUUCACCCAAUUAGUCAGUCAAUCCGAGAUUCAGUGGGAGACACGUUCAAAUUGAAAUUGGAAGAACUUACGAUCUCUUUUUCGCCUCUCAGUUUGCCACAUCACUUCCGCCCCCAUUUUUCCGGUAUCUCAAGCAAUGAAUCCCACUAAGAACCGGUAGUCUGGUACUUCCUUCUCCUCUCUACCAAACCACCGAUGCACCAACACCUCUUUCUUCUCUCUCUCUCUCUCUAUUACUCUAUCAAAGAAACCCUAAUUAUGGAAUUUCAAAGCAACCACCACCACCGUCUGCACUGCCACUGAACAGCUACCACAACCACCACCAAUUUUCUCUGUAAGAAAGGCCUUAAUCAAUUGCCAUUUCAUGUAUUAGAAUGAAGGUUCUUGUAGCAAAAUUUGAAGGUGCUGUCAAUUUCUAGGGUGAACGAAACUUUAACAGAUUUGGAGGUGGCUUGGAAAGAACUCUACCAUGGGAAAGAAUCAUAGGCUUCUUGAAGAUGCUCGUAUUCAUCUUUUAGCUUAUCUACAAUUCUAUUUGGGCAGGUCGACCCUGUGUCUCGAUUAUCUGUCUCUUGUACUUAAGCACAUGAAUGAUCCAUGAAAGACACUGCUAAAGGUACAAGUGAUUUUUUUACUUUUAAUUUAAUAAUGAUUUGGAUAAAUGGCAGGAUGAAAGUAUUGAAAAGGUUGUGGAAUUUAUGGAUGCAUACUUCAUUAGUCAGGAGAAUUUUGAUUCAGUGAUGCUCAUGUCCAGGUCUCAGGGGAGGCUGAAUUUACUUGAGGUUAUGCAACUUGCUGUGAAAGCUGCACUUAUAAAGGCGUACAAUAAAGGAAGCAAGACACGGGUGAUACGAAGAGCAGAUUUGAUCACACUUCCAGG